ACGAAGGGGGCUAGCGUUGCUCGGAAUCACUGGGCGUAAAGGGUGCGUAGGCGGGUUUUUAAGUCAGGGGUGAAAUCCUGGAGCUCAACUCCAGAACUGCCCUUGAUACUGAAGAUCUUGAGUCCGAGAGAGGUGAGUGGAACUGCGAGUGUAGAGGUGAAAUUCGUAGAUAUUCGGAAGAACACCAGUGGCGAAGGCGACUCACUGGCCCAUUACUGACGCUGAGGCGCGAAAGCGUGGGGAGCAAACAGGA
rnacentral:rRNA from 1 species